rnacentral:rRNA from 1 species
AACGAACGCUGGCGGCAUGCCUAACACAUGCAAGUCGAACGAGACCUUCGGGUCUAGUGGCGCACGGGUGCGUAACGCGUGGGAACCUGCCUUUAGGUUCGGAAUAACUCAGAGAAAUUUGAGCUAAUACCGGAUGAUGUCUUCGGACCAAAGAUUUAUCGCCUUUAGAUGGGCCCGCGUUGGAUUAGCUAGUUGGUGGGGUAAAGGCCUACCAAGGCGACGAUCCAUAGCUGGUCUGAGAGGAUGAUCAGCCACACUGGGACUGAGACACGGCCCAGACUCCUACGGGAGGCAGCAGUGGGGAAUAUUGGACAAUGGGCGAAAGCCUGAUCCAGCAAUGCCGCGUGAGUGAUGAAGGCCUUAGGGUUGUAAAGCUCUUUUACCCGAGAUGAUAAUGACAGUAUCGGGAGAAUAAGCUCCGGCUAACUCCGCG